rnacentral:rRNA from 1 species
CUUUAGUAAUUGCGAAUGAACAAGGAUAUGCUUAGCUUGACAAAUGGAGCUAUUGGCUUUGAAUUGUAUUGUGGAAAUGUAUUACCAACAGAGGUGCAGGUGCCAGCCUAUUGAAAUAAAGCGUCAAUGAGGGUGAGAAUCCUGUUUGUCAUGUGCAGCCCUUUGUGCACGGUGUAUAUUUGCUGAGUCACACUCCUUGGCAUUGGAAUGCAAAGUGGGUGGUAAGUUUCAUGUAAAGGUAAACAUGCAAUUGAGACUGAUAGCACACAAGUACCAUGAGGGAAAUAUGAAAAGGACUUUGAAAAGAGAAUUAAAUGAGUUUGUAUUUGCUGAACACAAAGUAAACAGACUUGAUUUGCUUGGUGGGAGUGUUGCACUUGCUUGACAAGAGCUUUGGGCUGUGGGUGUAAUGAUUCUUUCUUUGCAUGCCAGUUUCUAUUUGUACAUCUGAUUACCUUUGCACAUGAAUGAUAAGUCUCCUGUGGGGGGUGGAUUGCAUGUGCAUGUAAUGAUUUGUGUUUUGAUAAAUGUGUCUGGUGUAUGUGUGUGUUCCUGUGCUUGGGGAUGCUUCCUUCCUUGGACUUACAAGCCCUGACACACACAUGCUGGCAAAAUGCUUCUGCUUGACCCGUCUUGAAACACGGACCAAGGAGUCUAACAGAUGUGCAAAGUUUGAAGGUGGUAUACCUUUGUGUGCAAUGAAAGUGUCAGCUGGGAUAUGUGCACCAGCACCCAAUUAAUUAGCGGACAGAGGUUUGAGUUGGAGCAUAUCUAUUAGGACCCGAAAGAUGGUGAACUAUGCCUGAACAGAAUGAAUUCAGAGGAAACUCUGAUGGAGGUUCGUAUCGAUACUGACGUGCAAAUCGUUCGUCAUAUUUGGGUAUAGGGGCGAAAGACUAAUCGAACCAUCUAGUAGCUGGUUCCCUCCGAAGUUUCCCUCAGGAUAGCUGGAGUUGCUCAGUUUUAUCAGGUAAAGCGAAUGAUUAGAGGAAUUGGGGACAGGUUUGUCUUUGACCUAUUCUCAAACUUUAAAUGGGUAAUAUGUAGUGGUUGCUGUAUGGAACUUCU